AGAACGAACGCUGGCGGCAUGCCUAACACAUGCAAGUCGAACGAUCUCUUCGGAGAUAGUGGCGCACGGGUGCGUAACGCGUGGGAAUCUGCCCUUGGGUUCGGAAUAACAGUUGGAAACGACUGCUAAUACCGGAUGAUGACGUUAAGUCCAAAGAUUUAUCGCCCAGGGAUGAGCCCGCGUAGGAUUAGCUAGUUGGUGAGGUAAAGGCUCACCAAGGCGACGAUCCUUAGCUGGUCUGAGAGGAUGAUCAGCCACACUGGGACUGAGACCACGGCCCAGACUCCGUACGGGACGGC
rnacentral:rRNA from 1 species